rnacentral:rRNA from 1 species
CCUUGUACACACCGCCCGUCAAGCCACGAAAGCUGGUAGUACCUGAAGUCGUGUACCCAACCCGCAAGGGAGGGAAGCGCCCACGGUAAAACCGGUGAUUGGGACU